rnacentral:rRNA from 1 species
AUUGAACGCUGGCGGCAGGCCUAACACAUGCAAGUCGAACGCGUGGCGGACGGGUGAGUCAUGUCUGGGCAACUGCCUGAUGGAGGGGGAUAACUACUGGAAACGGUCGCUAAUACCGCAUACCCUCGGAUGUGCCCAGAUGGGAUUAGCUAGUAGGUGGGGUAACGGCUCACCUAGGCGACGCUCCCUAGCUGGUCUGAGAGGAUGACCAGCCACACUGGAACUGAGACACGGUCCAGACUCCUACGGGAGGCAGCAGUGGGGAAUAUUGCACAAUGGGCGCAAGCCUGAUGCAGCCAUGCCGCGGGUAUGAAGAAGGCCUUCGGGUUGUAAAGUACUGUCAUCGGGGAGGCGGUACCCGCAGAAGAAGCACCGGCUAACUCCGUGCCAGCAGCCGCGGUAAUUC